CAUAGGGGGUCGUAUGGGGUCAUAGGGGAUCAUAUGGGGUGGGACGGGGUCACAUGGGGUCAUAUGGGGUGGGACGGGGUCAUGGGGGGUCAUAGGAGGUGCUGUGGGGUCGUAUAGGGUCAUAUAGGGUCACGGGGGGUCGUAUAGGGGGUCAUGGGGGUCGUAUGGGGUCAUAGGGGUGACCCCAUACGUCCCCGUGUGACGCUGUACAACCUGCUGUGUUCUUCUAUGUGAUCCUAUAUGACUUUACGUGUCCCUAUAUGUGACCCCCUGUGUCCCUAUAUGUGUCCCUAUAUGUGUCCCUGUAUGUAACCCUAUAUGUGACCCUGUAUGUGACCCUAUAUGUGUCCCUAUAUGUUUCCCUAUAUGUGUCCCUAUAUGUAAUCCUAUAUGUGACCCUAUAUGUGUCCCUAUAUGUAACCCUAUAUGUGUCCCUAUACGUGUCCCUAUAUGUUUCCCUAUAUGUGACCCUAUAUGUGUCCCUAUAUGUGACCCUAUACGUGUCCCUGUAUGUCCCCACACGUGCCCCCAUACGUGUCCCUAUAUGUGUCCCUAUACGUGUCCCUAUGUUUCCCUAUAUGUGUCCCUAUAUGUAACCCUAUACGUGUCCCUAUAUGUAACCCUAUAUGUGUCCCUAUAUGUGUCCCUAUAUGUGACCCCCUAUGUCCCUAUAUGUGUCCCUAUAUGUGACCCUAUACGUGUCCCUAUAUGUAACCCUAUACGUUUCUA
ensembl:lncRNA